GGCCUUGUAGUUCAACGGAUAGAAUACGGGUUUCCUAAACUUGAGAUACGAGUUCGAUUCUCGUUAAGGCUA
rnacentral:tRNA from 1 species